AGCAUGUGGUUUAAUUCGAAGCAACGCGAAGAACCUUACCAGGUCUUGACAUCCCGAUGCUAUUCUAGAGAUAGAAAGUUACUUCGGUACAUCGGUGACAGGUGGUGCAUGGUUGUCGUCAGCUCGUGUCGUGAGAUGUUGGGUUAAGUCCCGCAACGAGCGCAACCCCUAUUGUUAGUUGCCAUCAUUCAGUUGGGCACUCUAGCGAGACUGCCGGUAAUAAACCGGAGGAAGGUGGGGAUGACGUCAAGUCCUCAUGGCCUUUAUGACCAGGGCUACACACGUACUACAAUGGCCGGUACAAAGGGCAGCCACUUAGCGAUAAGGAGCCAAUCCCGUAAAGCCGGUCUCAGUCCGGAUUGGAGUCUGCAACUCGACUCCAUGAAGUUGGAAUCGCUAGUAAUCGCGGAUCAGCAUGUCGCGGUGAAUACGUUCCCGGGCCUU
rnacentral:rRNA from 1 species